rnacentral:rRNA from 1 species
GUGUCAGCCGCCGCGGUAAUACGAAGGGGGCUAGCGUUGUUCGGAAUUACUGGGCGUAAAGCGCGCGCAGGCGGCCUUGCAAGUCAGAGGUGAAAUCCCAGAGCUUAACUCCGGAAUUGCCUUUGAGACUGCUUGGCUUCGAGUACGGGAGAGGUGAGUGGAAUUCCCAGUGUAGAGGUGAAAUUCGUAGAUAUUGGGAAGAACACCGGUGGCGAAGGCGGCUCACUGGCCCGUUACUGACGCUCAGGCGCGACAGCGUGGGGAUCAAACAGGAUUAGAUACCCCCGUAGUCC